GCCUGGGUAGCUGAGUCGGUUGAGCGUCUGACUUCAGCUCAGGUCAUGAUCUCGCAGUUCAUGGGUUUGAGCCCCGUAUCAGGCU
rnacentral:tRNA from 1 species